rnacentral:rRNA from 1 species
GAUGAACGCUGGCGGCGUGCCUAAUACAUGCAAGUCGAGCGAACGGACGAGAAGCUUGCUUCUCUGAUGUUAGCGGCGGACGGGUGAGUAACACGUGGAUAACCUACCUAUAAGACUGGGAUAACUUCGGGAAACCGGAGCUAAUACCGGAUGAUAUUUUGAACCGCAUGGUUCAAAAGUGAAAGACGGUCUUGCUGUCACUUAUAGAUGGAUCCGCGCUGCAUUAGCUAGUUGGUAAGGUAAUGGCUUACCAAGGCAACGAUGCAUAGCCGACCUGAGAGGGUGAUCGGCCACACUGGAACUGGGACACGGACCAGACUCCUACGGGAGGCAGCAGUAGGGAAUCUUCGGCAAUGGGCGGAAGCCUGACGGAGCAACGCCGCGUGAGUGAUGAAGGUCUUCGGAUCGUAAAACUCUGUUAUUAGGGAAGAACAUAUGUGUAAGUAACUGUGCACAUCUUGACGGUACCUAAUCAGAAAGCCACGGCUAACUACGUG